AACGAGUGCCCCAAGCGUUAUCCGGAAUUAUUGGGUCUAAAGGGUCUGUAGCCGGCCGGAUAAGUCUCUUGAGAAAUCCAGCAGCUCAACUGUUGGGCUUUCAGGAGAUACUGUCUGGCUCGAGGCCGGGAGAGGUGAGAGGUACUUCAGGGGUAGGGGUGAAAUCUUGUAAUCCUUGAAGGACCACCAGUGGCGAAGGCGUCUCACCAGAACGGACCUGACGGCAAGGGACGAAAGCUAGGGGCACGAACCGG
rnacentral:rRNA from 1 species